GCUUAGAAGCAGCCACUCAUUCAAAGAGUGCGUAAUAGCUCACUGGUCGAGUGAUCCUGCGCCGAAGAUUUCCGGGGCUAAAACCUACUACCGAAGCCACGGCAUCAUUUAUGAUGGGUAGGGGAGCUUUCUUUACUGGGCAGAAGCAUGACCGUAAGGACAUGUGGACUGUAAAGAAGUGAGAAUGUUGGC
rnacentral:rRNA from 1 species